rnacentral:rRNA from 1 species
UGCAGUCGAACGAACCUUCGGGUUAGUGGCGGACGGGUGAGUAACGCGUGGGAAUCUGCCCUCAGGAGGGGGAUAACGGUUGGAAACGGCCGCUAAUACCCCAUAUGCCGAGAGGUGAAAUGAAUUUCGCCUGAGGAUGAGCCCGCGUCUGAUUAGCUAGUUGGUGAGGUAAGAGCUCACCAAGGCAUCGAUCAGUAGCUGGUCUGAGAGGAUGAUCAGCCACACUGGGACUGAGACACGGCCCAGACUCCUACGGGAGGCAGCAGUGGGGAAUUUUCCGCAAUGGGCGAGAGCCUGACGGAGCAACGCCGCGUGAGGGAUGAAGGCCUCUGGGCUGUAAACCUCUUUUAUCAAGGAAGAAGAUCUGACGGUACUUGAUGAAUAAGCCACGGCUAAUUCCGUGCCAGCAGCCGCGGUAAUACGGGAGUGGCAAGCGUUAUCCGGAAUUAUUGGGCGUAAAGCGUCCGCAGGCGGCCCAACAAGUCUGCUGUUAAAAAGUGGAGCUUAACUCCAUCAUGGCAGUGGAAACUGUUGGGCUCGAGUGUGGUAGGGGCAGAGGGAAUUCCCGGUGUAGCGGUGAAAUGCGUAGAUAUCGGGAAGAACACCAGUGGCGAAGGCGCUCUGCUGGGCCAUCACUGACGCUCAUGGACGAAAGCCAGGGGAGCGAAAGGGAUUAGAUACCCCUGUAGUCCUGGCCGUAAACGAUGAACACUAGGUGUCGGGGGAAUCGACCCCUCCGGUGUCGUAGCCAACGCGUUAAGUAUUCCGCCUGGGGAGUACGCACGCAAGUGUGAAACUCAAAGGAAUUGACGGGGGCCCGCACAAGCGGUGGAGUAUGUGGUUUAAUUCGAUGAUACGCGAGGAACCUUACCAGGACUUAAAUGUAAGUUGCAUGAUUCAGAAAUGAAUCUUUCUUCGGACUACUUACAAGUGCUGCAUGGUUGUCGUCAGCUCGUGCCGUGAGGUGUCAAGUUAAGUCCUAUAACGAGCGCACCCCUAUCGUUAGUUGCCAUCAAGUAAAGUUGGGAACUCUAGCGAA